CCUACGGGUGGCAGCAGUAGGGAAUCUUGCUCAAUGGGGGAAACCCUGAAGCAGCAACGCCGCGUGGAGGAUGAAGGUUUUCGGAUUGUAAACUCCUUUUGUUAGAGAAGAUAGUGACGGUAUCUAACGAAUAAGCACCGGCUAACUCCGUGCCAGCAGCCGCGGUAAUACGGAGGGUGCAAGAGGUACUCGGAAUCAUUGGGCGUAAAGAGCGCGCAGGCGGGAUAGUAAGUACGAUGUGAAAACCUAUUGCUUAAACAUUGAACUGCAUUUGAAACUGUUAUUCUAGAGUGUUGGAGAGGAGGGUGGAAUUCUUGGUGUAGGGGUGAAAUCCGUAGAGAUAAAGAGGAAUACUGAUUGCGAAGGCGACCUGCUAGAACAUAACUGACGCUGAUGCGCGAAAGCGUGGGGAGCAAACAGGAUUAGAUACCCGAGUAGUC
rnacentral:rRNA from 1 species